ensembl:lncRNA
AUGCUUUUGGUAAAUCAGAUACAGACAGUAGCAACAAAACUGACCCUGGAUGUGUCGGCGAUAACAACCAGCAUGACAACACUACUAGAUUCUACGCCCUAUAACAGGAUACAAUUUCAGGCAUUUUUGGAUGGUGGGUUUUGCAGUUGCACACAUGCAGUAAAGCCUCCUGGGUUCACAGGAGGUCCAAAAUGGAAAAAAAUAUCCAGUGAGCGGGAGUUCAAAGGGGGCAAAAUAUCAUGCUGAUGACAGAUGAAAUUGGACAAUGGCAUUGCUGGAGAAACUGUUGGCUGCAGUUUUUGGAAAAUUACAAUAACAAUAAUAAUCAUAAUAACAAUAAGAAGAAGAAGAAACUUGUCCUGGCAACAUAUGACGAGUGCAGAGUAGCAAUGUUGCAAUAACAGUUGUCCCACAGUGCCACCUGGUGCUGAUCACUGUGGACUUCCUUACUACAGCUACAUGAACCCAAGACAUAUUAUAAGGUUUAAAUGCCUUGAUGCAUUCUCAAUCAUCCAGGAAAGUAAAUCUCCAAAAGUUGAAUCUGUUCAUCUGGACGUAGCGUUUUGUGGGAGAAACGUUUCGUCACUCAUCCAGGUGACUUCUUCAGUCUCAGCUGACUGCAGGUUUCCCCAAACCUUAUAAACAGUACAUUUGCAUAAUGACUGAAACCAGCCCACUGAAGGAACAAUGGGCUGUGAGGUCAGUUCCUUAAUCAUAAUUAUGCAAAUUUCCAUGACCACUGAUCAACAAUCACUGACCAAAACCCACUGAUCAAAGAACACUGAUCAAUGGCCAUGAGUCCCAUUCACAGAGAGUUGGGGAAUGGCUGCAAUCACAGCAUUGUAAGAUGGUGACAGAUGUACCCUUAGGCCCCCUCCUCGAUUCAGAGAUGGUCUUUCCCUUUUCACGUAAAUGGCCUCCUUGACUCAGCAAGCAAGUAAAGUAUUUGUACUUCGUUACUUCCCACCUCUGUACUGAAACAAAAUCUUUUGCAAUGUGAGAGAUGCAGUAAAACUGAAAGGAAAGGUUCAGAGGACGGCAGUGAGACCUGCUGGGAUGCUUUGGAGAAGAAAAAGAAAAAUCUGGGUGUUUGCAGUAACCAUCUGUACAGAGUAUAGUACUUUGGCAUUUUUUGUAAACUAUUUAUUCAUAAUAAUAAAGCGCCUUGAGGCGACUGUUGUUGUGAUUUGGAGCUAUAUAAAUAAAAUUGAAUUGAAUUAAUAAUAAUAAUAACUAUAUAUCUGUAAUUCACUUUUUCUCCCUGGCCCUUGAGCUGCUGUAAUAAAUGAAAUUUCGCUGUGAGAUUAAAUAAAGUCUGUCUAAAUAAACACAAACACCAAAAACUAGAACUUCACUUAAACAGUGCCUCAUAAAUAUGCUGCAUAUGAAAAUAAGCAAAAAUCUGUGAAACAGUGAUAAAAUCAAAUAAACUAUUAAAUAAAAUAAAAUUAUAUCAAACAAAUGUCUUGAUGCAUUCUCAAUCAUCCAGGAAAGUCAAUCUCCAAAAGUUGAAUCUGUUCAUCUGGACGUAGCGUUUUGUGGGAGAAACGUUUCGUCACUCAUCCAAGUGACUUCUUCAGUCUCAGCUGACUGCAGGUUUCCCCAAACCUUAUAAACAGUACAUUUGCAUAAUGACUGAAACCAGCCCACUGAAGGAACAAUGGGCAGCCCAUUGUUCCUUCAGUGGAACAAUUCAGAGCGUGUUAUUUAUUUGUAAUUCCUGGUUUUAUAUCUCUUGGAGAUAUAUCCUUUACAUAUUUAUAAAGGCACCAUGGGGGGCUUAGGGUGAAACAGCAUUUCGGUACACUGUAUACUGUGUAUACUACUGUACUGACAAUAAAGCUCUUGAAUCUUGAACCUAACUGGCAUUUAAAGGGUAAAAGAAUAAAUUUAGAUAAAGUUUUGGUUUUGAUGACAAGGACUGGUGCUAAUUUAAAGAGUCAAGUCGGUCAAAGUAGAAAAAUGUUUUAAUAAAUAUUAAUCUUAUAGCAUUUUGUGAACGCAAACAAAAGGUGGCCAUUUUUGGUAAUGAACAAGCUGAGAGGGAGUUUUAUCUUUUUCGCUCUCCUUGCCCAAAAAUAACAAUACAUAAUAAUCAAUGUUGAUGGUAAUCAAUUACAUGUCCCAGACUCUACUAUUAAUGGAUGAGUGACGAAACGUUUCUCCCACAAAACACUACGUCCAGAUAUAUCAAACAAAUACAUAAAUGAUGAUGUAAACAAACAGAGGUACCUGAAACAAGGUAAAAUCAGCUAUAAUCAUCUGUAGCUAAUUAAUGUAUGCAAAGACAUACUAAGAAAAUAAAUGUAUUAGUAAUGAAUCAUCAUCAUCAUCAUCAUAAUUUUAAAAGUUUAUCGCCCCUGGGCGCUGCAGUGGUGAUGGGAGCCCUGAGCAGGCACUUAGUUCAUGCUUCUGCGUGUUGAGCCAAAAACUGAUCUCUGAUGUUUUUAUGCCUAAUGUGUUUAUUUAUGUUGGUAAAUAGACUGUAGUGGGCAUGAUUUAUGAAUCGGUUAUUUAUAAAAUAAAUAAACAACCUGUUUUGCAGUUAUCUUUAUGAUGCUGCAUUAUUGUAGUUGCGUUAUAAUAAAUCUGGUUCUUUUUGGUUUAUAGAACUGUAAAGUUUCUGCUGCCCGUCUUUUAAUGUCAGUGAAUUUUUUUUUACCAGAUAAAUAAAGGAUAAAGUCAUUGCUACUUCUACUUUGUGGAAGUAGGUUAUUUCUGGCUCAAAAUGACUAAUCAUUACUCUCAUCAUUAGGGAUGGGUACCGGUGUCCGGUGCCAUGAUGGCACCGGUUCUGACAUAAACAGUAGUAACCAGACCGAAAAGCAGCGCACAUUUCGGUGCUUUAUUUCGGUGUUUUUUUUUUCCUGAGCCAAUUCUAGCCAAUCAUUUUACGUUUCCGAGGAUAGUAGGCGGGUCCAGGUACGUACGUUCUUUUAGAGCAGAGCUACAGAUUAAAAAUGCCCAAGGCGAAGCGGUCAAAAGUCUGGCUGUACUUCACAGCAAAAGAUGCAAACUCAGCUGCCUGCAACAAGUGCUUUUAGGUGAUACUGUGCAAAGGAGGUAACACCUCGAAUCCGCACCUGGCGACGCAUAGCGUGUUUUUUUAAAGCCGAGAAAUGCGCCGUGUUUGAUAGCGGGUGUGGUGCCUGUUAUCGGACCCGGAGUUGGCAACAUCACCCAAAAACCCGAAGAGUAGCGUCCUGGCCCCUAGCCCUGCCAGUGUAGCAGAAAUGAUGACAGAUGAUGAUGGCAGCAGCAGCCGUUCUCCUCUGCGUGAGUAUCUUAAUGUUCAUGUGUAAUUUACGUUGAGUACGCUAACCACGUUAUUACAUUAAUGCAUGUAAGGUGAACUAGCAAACACCGUAGUAGUUACAUGCGGCUGUCUUCUUGUUUGAUGGCAGAUGCUCCCUUCACCCUGGCCAAAAAGGCUAAAAUAACCAAAGAAAAAGUGGGAAACAGUUAAACAUGAGAAGUUUUUGGACAAAGUUGGUGUUUUUUCCAUUGUUUAAGCACUGCUUCCAGCCAAGAGUGAUACCAUAUAUGCCCUAUAGCUGCAGAAAAGGCUAACAUUGUUAUCUUUUUACAAAAAAAACAGCUGAACAUGAGAGGUUUUUGGACAAAGUUUGUGUUCUCCAUUCUUUAAGCACCGGUUUGAGCACCGUUUAAGCACCGGCACCGUUUCAAAAGUACCGGUUUGGCACCGGUAUCGGAUAAAACCUAAACGAUACCCAUCCCUACUCAUCAUACAUGAGCAAUGUUUUUGACAGAUAAUAGGCCAGCUAGUCAUUUAUGGUUUCAUUUCCAUCAAUCAUUGUUUGGCAAAUACUGGAAAUCAGUUUUUGGCACAACACCGGCUCUGGUCGUACAAACUCAGACCACAAACAUGCUAUCAUGUGUAUGUGGCGGAGGUGUGGUCCCGGGCGCGGCUGCAGGGGAGGAGUGAUGCAGUGAGCUCAACGGGGCGGUGCUGGAAAGGCAGGUGAGAACAGCUGAUGGCGUUUGGACUGAUGAUGGUUUCCUUCCCCUUUUUAGUGAGACGGGAGAGGAGCGGAGAGGAAGCUGGGAUCAGCUGAGACUGGAGCUGUCCAGACUACAGACUGUCACUACAAACGAAAAUAAAAAUAAACUUGGCUUCUGGCAGUAAAGAACUGCGUGUGUGAAGUGCAUUUCACAGUGCAAAACUGGGUGAUUUUACUUUCAACUUUAGAAUCAAGGCCUGAAUGUCACCACUCAGUUUUGUAACUGUGACUAUGUCUUAAUCCUCUAACCUGUCAGUAAAGCUUCUUACAGAUAAUUGUAAAUGUUUGUUUGUGUUAAAGGGUUUAAAAUCUUCUUCGUUUUUCUCUGUUGAGAAUCCAGCACAGGUUGGAUUCCGUUCCGUUCCAACCUCAAAUUUCCGUGAGAGCAAUGUCUUUUAUUUCUUGUGGUAACUCUCCACAGUUAACUUUCAUACAGGUGAAUUUAAUUACAGAUAUUUACAAAGGGUUUGGCCCUUCAUAUCUUUACACCCUUGAGUUGUUCAUGCCAACUGUUAAAGCACGGCUCUGCCAGGUAGAUCUUCCUGAGUCGUGAUGUUUUGACAACACAUAAAUACUUCACCAGUACAAAAAAAAUGAUAGAGGUCAAAACAAAGACUAAAAGCUGAUUAAUGAAUCAAUGAAUGAAUCCAUCAAUCCUCUGAUAGCCCCUCUAGUUUCCUGUUGUAUAAAACUAUGUAGAAAGUACAUGAAUCCUGCUUCAAACCCAGCAGCUACCACAGUAACACGAGUUCUAAUGAUCUAAAUACUUCAUCUAAUUUUUAAACAGUUUACUUAGGACACCUGAAUUUUACUCAAGUGAGAUCUUUAAUGUUUGAGUUUUAC